rnacentral:rRNA from 1 species
GCCAGACUCCUACGGGAGGCAGCAGUGAGGAAUAUUGGUCAAUGGUCGGGAGACUGAACCAGCCAAGCCGCGUGAGGGAUGAAGGUACAGAGUAUCGUAAACCUCUUUUGUCAGGGAACAAAGGCGGGGACGUGUCCCCGGAUGAGUGUACCUGAAGAAAAAGCAUCGGCUAACUCCGUGCCAGCAGCCGCGGUAAUACGGAGGAUGCGAGCGUUAUCCGGAUUUAUUGGGUUUAAAGGGUGCGUAGGCGGAGUGUCAAGUCAGCGGUAAAAUUUCGGGGCUCAACCCCGUCGUGCCGUUGAAACUGACGCCCUUGAGUGAGUGAGAAGUAAGCGGAAUGCGUGGUGUAGCGGUGAAAUGCAUAGAUAUCACGCAGAACUCCGAUUGCGAAGGCAGCAUACCGGCGCCCUACUGACGCUGAGGCACGAAAGCGUGGGUAUCGAACAGGAUUAGAUACCCUAGUAC